CCGGAACCGACACCUGGACGCGGCCUCUGCUGCCCCAAGCGGCCUCUGCUUCCCCACGUCCUGGUGACCGGAGGUUCCGCCAGUUCCCCCAGUGAAAGGGAAGGGGGUACAUCGCUGACUCCGGCGGGCGCCGCGGGUCUGGUGGAGCGAAGCGACGCUCAGUGUCAGCCUCUUGAAUUGAGGUUCCACGUGGGAAGCUCACCUUCUGGGUUUUGGCUUCCCUGGGGGAGAAGAGAGGACCGGAGCGGGAGAAGCGUGGGGCGCGUCGAGGUAGGGGGCCUGGUGGCUGGUUCCUGGUGCACUGGCGAGGCCUCUACUGACCACCCAUCUGCACCACGCCGCCGGGCUGCAGCGUUUCCAAGGCGGGCGUCCAGUGGUCGCGGUUCGCGGACCCUCCGCGCAGCCGCUGCCAGCUCUUGAGAGGUUCCCAUGUCCCGCCGGAGCUGGAGCUCCUCACUACGCGACGCGGCGUGACGCGCGGAUCCCCAGCCCAGGGCUGAGAGGCGGAGGCGGGCGAGGGCCCGGGGGGCCCCGGAUUGUGGGGGCACAGGGGAUGCUCCCCAUUUUGUGCGGCGCAGGGAGAAGCGGGGGCUCAGGGCUCCCUCCGCGUCCACCCGCGCUUGAACUUGUCUCUUCCAGACUUCAGGAAAUCGGAGUCUCCUCCUAGCUCUGCUCUGCUGGGUCCCCACCUCUGGCCACGAGGACUCCACGAAGGCCACAAAGACAAGCCGGAGGCUACGGGGCGUGUGGCUCGUUGGUCUAGGGGUAUGAUUCUCGCUUAGGGUGCGAGAGGUCCCGGGUUCAAAUCCCGGACGAGCCCGGUUUUUGGUCCAAAAUAUCGGUUUCUACCCUUUCCUACUUUAGAUGAAGAUCAGAGAUCCAGACAGCUCUGACAGGUCAGCGCAGCCCGAGUCCUUCGAAGUUAGUUUGUUUGUUUGUUUUGAGACAGAGUCUCUGUCGCCCCGGCUGGAGUGCAGUGGUGCUAUCUCACCUCACUGCAACCUCCGCCUCCUGGGUUCAAGCAAUUCUCCUGCCUCAGUCUCCCAGGUAGCUGGGACUACAGGCACGUGCCACCAUGUCUGGCUAAUUUUUGUACUUUUUUUUUAGUAGAGACAGGGUUUCGCCAUGUUGGCCAGGCUGGUCUCCAACUCCUUACUUCAGGUGAUCAGCCCGCCUCGGCCUCCCAAAGUGCUAGGAUUACAGGCGUCAGCCACCGCGCUCAGACUUCGAAGUUAAUUUGUACAAAGAUCUAAAGCUGUCUGACACCACCCACUGCCACAUUUAAAAUUUAUUUGGAGUUUUCUCACCACUGUCGUCAGAGCCCUAUUCCCUAAUAUUUUUGUUUGAUAUUUUGCUAUUUUUGUUUUCUGCUUUUAUUAUUAUUUUUAUUUAUGAGCUACUUUUGUCAGUAGGAAUUCAUUCGAGGCACUGAAGAAGAGAUAAGUCCUUCCUAUAUACAGUAAGAGCCGAGUCUUCACUGUCAGACACCUUAAAAGCUCUACACUGGGAUUCCCACCCAGUGUCCCUGGCUCCGGCGGCUAGAGCCUUAAGGAGAGAAAGCCGGGCACUUGAGCAGAGGAGAUGGGCUAUGGGCGUUUGUAUCUGGGGUCUAGAGUCCUCUCCCUCCCCACAUCCCGACACUCCUCACCUGCGUGUAGCCUUCUGGGGCUCCUCUCCUCCCCUAUCCUAGUUCUGGAAGGGGUACAGACUGAACCCAGGAACCCGGGUAUCUGCGUCCUGAGUCCCAGCGCCCACCAGGACUGGGGCCUCCUCACAUCUACUCUGAGGACAGAAUCUAUUGGCAGAGUCUUCCUUUUUGUUUGGGAUGCUGGGUUUGAGAACAUGCCGGGAACCAAGAGUCGUGACUAAUCCAAUUUUGAGCGCUUGAGGACCAAGUGGAAAGAAACUCAAGCAGAUUUAAAGUGACCAAUGUCUGGUUAUGCCCUUGAGCCCCUGCAGAAGCAAACAAUAAUUUUGUGUGUGUGUGGACAAAUACAUUUGUAUUCCAGAUCUCACAGAAUUUCCUACACAAAGAAAUUUGCAAGGAAAAUGGACAUUGCACCCUAAAAAUUAACAAGGAAAGAAGGUACCAGGAGCAACAACUCAUUAACAGGAACAGAAACAAUAUUGCAAAUAUUUCAGAUGCAAAGUGUAUCCGACUUAUAAUACAACUGUCCCUACUGUGUCUAAAGAAAUGAAAGGCAAUAAAGAAAAUAUCUUUGACAUCAGGACCUCCAACCUUCUUGAUUGAAAAAAGAACCAAAUAGUUCUAGAUAUAGAAGCACACGGUAAUGGAAAGGGAACAACUAGAUGCACGCCACAGUAGGUUACAGUGCGGAGCAGCACCUGCGAGGGCUUCUGUGAGUCCCAGUGAGCUUUGGGCUUUCUGUCUGCAGCUGCAAGGAUGGC
rnacentral:lncRNA from 1 species